rnacentral:misc_RNA from 1 species
UAUUAUGUAAACAAAUCAUAUUUUUUUUUGUCACUUUAAGCUGAUGAAAAAGAAUAAUCAGAAUUUGCUUGUGUUUCAGAAAUUACGCUUUCUUAAUUUUCCUACGCAUUUCUUGUUUGAAAGUCAUAUAAUAAUAAAAUGAAGUUUAUUUUUUCCACUCAAAAAUUAGAAUAUGCACGGAGCCUUUUCAAACAAGGCAUGAAAUUAAGCCGAACUACGCUACUAUUUUCCCGUCCAAUGUCAGUUCAGGCUUCUUUUUUAACGAUACACGAAACAACCAUCAAGUCAUGUGGCUCUUUAUACGAGAAAUGGAGAGAAACCGGAAGAUUCGGAAAGUUACCAAAUUCGGACUUGACAUUUCAAGUUAAAUAUUUAGAUACAUUGCAAGGUUUAGAUCUUCCUAUCAGCAACCUAUCUUCUGUCCCUGUAGUUGUUGGCUUACAUGGUGCUCCUGGGUCAUGCAAUGAGUUUAGUAAUUUAGCAGAGUUUCUGCAUAAUAAAGGUGUUAGAUUUGUUUCACCCACAUUUCCAGAUUUUUCAAGUUUCCGUCCUGGUAUUUUUAAACAUACUGAUGAGGAAAAAGCUCAAUAUGUGAGAGAUUUUCUUUCAGCCAUAUCUGUUCCUAAAGUAGACCUUUUAGUCUGUCAUAGCAGUGCUGUAUAUCCAGGUUUAUUGUUGUGUCUUCACCAAAAUCCUGCUAUAAAAUCAUUAGCCAUGUUAAAUCCAUCUACUUUUUCAUUGAAGAUGCCGGCAAUUAAUUAUUAUCAAGGUUUGAAACAGAUGGUAAAAGCAAGUGAAAGUCCAGUUUUUUUAAAGAUCAUGGAAACAAUUUGUCCUAUUAUUUUAAAAUUGGCAAAAAUUCCUGUGAGAGUGGAUAAGUUCUUAGAUCCUUUGUUAUCAGCAACUGUUAUGGCACGUACAAAUAUUCCAGAGAUCUGAAUUUUGUUAGUCAAAAGAAAAGUUCCACAAGCUUGCAUCGUCAGGAUUUCCUAUUUUUUAUGCUUUUAGUGAAGAUGAUAAACUGAUUGGAGGACAAAAUGCUUCUGAGUUAGCAACGCUCCUUGGUGCUCAAUUCUCUGAUAUUUGUUACAUAAAUAAGCAUGGAGUUAUUGAAAAAAAAGGUCAAGAAACCUCUAGACUGAAGGUCAUGUCCUUUGAAAACGGUUCCCAC